rnacentral:lncRNA from 1 species
UCAGGCCAACUUGACUUCUUCUUUGACCCCUUUGGCUUCUGGCUUCUCCUCCUUGGUUUUCUCCUCUUCUGUGACUUCUUUUUUCUCUUUGGGAUCUUUCUCUUUCAUCUUCUGUUUUGACUCUUUUAGCUUUUUUGGGGGGAGGGGGUGUUCUGAGACUGGAACUCACUUUGUAGACCAGGCUGGCCUCGAACUCAGAAAUCUGCCUGCCUCUGCCUCCUACGUGCUGGGAUUAAAGGCGUGCGCCACCACGGCCGGCUCCUCUUUUAGCUUUUUUGAAGUUAAAAGAGUUCUUAUGACCACCUUCUCCCUCCUCAUCUGAAUCUGAGAAUUCUUCCUCACAGGCAGUGCAUCUGUCAGAGGAGCAGAUGGAGAUGUUUGUCAGGGUCUUCCUCAUCCUCAUCACUUCUCUCUUCUGGGAUGGCAUCCUCAGGUAUGGCCUGCAUCUGGACCCCAGGGUUAUGGGGCAGCAUUCUCAAGUUCUCAAAGAGCUUGAUCUUUUGCAGGUAGUCAUUAGUGUUCUGGUUAGUCAUAUUGGAAGGGCUGAUGUGAAGCUUGAAAUCUGAUCACAAGUAUUCAAAGUAGUCAUUGUAUGGCAGCUCAUGAGGGAUCUCUGUGUCCAGGGCCACAGCUGUUUCGUAAGUCCAGCACUGAGCGACAUUACAGAUAGUGUGGCCACCUCC